rnacentral:rRNA from 1 species
UACGAAGGGUGCUAGCGUUGUUCGGAAUCACUGGGCGUAAAGCGCGCGUAGGCGGCGAUACAAGUCAGGGGUGAAAUCCCACAGCUUAACUGUGGAACUGCCUUUGAAACUGUAUCGCUAGAGUGUCGGAGGGGAUGGCGGAAUUGCUAAUGUAGAGGUGAAAUUCGUAGAUAUUAGCAGGAACACCGGUGGCGAAGGCGGCCAUCUGGACGACAACUGACGCUGAGGCGCGAAAGCGUGGGGAUCAAACAGG